AUCUCACUUUAAGUGUAAAGCGCGUAUUUCCGCGCGUUGAGACUCUAGAGGGAAAACGUGUCAAUAGUCACUUUUCUAUGUGCAGUUUUCGAACUUAAAUUAAAGGUUUAGGAACCGGCCUACUCGAGAAUUAUAAUUUCGAAAAAAGUAAUUCCCUCUCGAAAAGCACGGAAACGCGACGGAGACACGUUUCUAUAACGACGUCUUCGGGAUCUCUCGCGUAUAUGUAUAUAAUAACGUAUGCGCAGGUACAUUAUGUUCACCGCGUAGAAACUCAGACUUACGGGAUUCCGAACGGACAGUCGGAAAAAACAAAUACAACGACAUUGGCGACGUGUGCACCACCGUGCGUAUUCGUUUCGUAUGCACGGAAAGUCGGUAAUAUUGUUUUAAGA